rnacentral:rRNA from 1 species
GUGGGGAAUAUUGGACAAUGGGCGAAAGCCUGAUCCAGCCAUGCCGCGUGUGUGAAGAAGGUCUUCGGAUUGUAAAGCACUUUAAGUUGGGAGGAAGGGCAGUAAGUUAAUACCUUGCUGUUUUGACGUUACCGACAGAAUAAGCACCGGCUAACUUCGUGCCAGCAGCCGCGGUAAUACGAAGGGUGCAAGCGUUAAUCGGAAUUACUGGGCGUAAAGCGCGCGUAGGUGGUUUUGUAAGUUGGAGGUGAAAUCCCCGGGCUCAACCUGGGAACUGCCUCCAAAACUGCAGGACUAGAGUACGGUAGGGGGUAGUGGAAUUUCCUGUGUAGCGGUGAAAUGCGUAGAUAUAGGAAGGAACACCAGUGGCGAAGGCGACUACCUGGACUGAUACUGACACUGAGGUGCGAAAGCGUGGGGAGCAAACAGGAUUAGAUACCCGAGUAGUCC